UUAGCGGCGGACGGGUGAGUAACACGUGGGCAACCUGCCUGUAAGACUGGGAUAACUCCGGGAAACCGGAGCUAAUACCGGAUAACAUUUUCUCUUGCAUAAGAGAAAAUUGAAAGAUGGUUUCGGCUAUCACUUACAGAUGGGCCCGCGGUGCAUUAGCUAGUUGGUGAGGUAACGGCUCACCAAGGCAACGAUGCAUAGCCGACCUGAGAGGGUGAUCGGCCACACUGGGACUGAGACACGGCCCAGACUCCUACGGGAGGCAGCAGUAGGGAAUCUUCCGCAAUGGACGAAAGUCUGACGGAGCAACGCCGCGUGAGUGAUGAAGGCUUUCGGGUCGUAAAACUCUGUUGUUAGGGAAGAACAAGUACAAGAGUAACUGCUUGUACCUUGACGGGACCUAACCAUAAAGCCACGGCUAACUACGUGCCAGCAGCCGCGGUAAUACGUAGGUGGCAUGCGUUAUCCGGAAUUAUUGGGCGUAAAGCGCGCGCAGGCGGGUUUCUUAAGCCUGAUGUGAAAGCCCACU
rnacentral:rRNA from 1 species